CAUAUGCAUACAACUGAAAGUGCCACUUGCUAUAAGCCAAGGCUACUGAGUGAUACUGUUAACGAUGAUGAUGAUAAUAAUAGCUAUACAUGAAUUACAUUGUGGAUGUUGAAAUAAUAUACUAUGUCUAAUUCUUCCUUACUCCCAACCCAUCUCUUAUUUUUUGCUUUGAUCUCUACUAGAGAUUUUCCGAAGUGCCAGAAGUGUCUAGUCAUAGAACAUAACUUACAGUAUUUUAGAGAAAUUGUAUAUAUAAUGUUUUCCUAGGAAACCGCAGGAUUGUGGUUUGCUCAUUUAAAAAUGGAAGCUUUGUGAGCUAGACAAGAGGACCUUUAAUGAUCAAGGUUUUAAUUAUUUUCUUCUUGUUUGCUUGCUCACUAGAUGUAAAAACAUGCAAUGAGGUGGACCUGGAGAAUUCUGCAGAUUGGGAAGUGAAGACAAUAACAAGUGCCAUGAAACAGUAUUUGAGGAGUCUUCCAGAGCCUCUCAUGACCUAUGAGUUACACGGAGAUUUCAUUGUUCCAGCCAAAAGUGGCAGCCCAGAAUCUCGUGUUAAUGCGAUCCAUUUCUUGGUACACAAACUGCCAGAGAAGAAUAAAGAGAUGUUGGAUAUUUUGGUGAAACACUUAACAAAUGUUUCAAAUCACUCCAAGCAGAACCUGAUGACCGUGGCAAACUUAGGAGUGGUGUUUGGACCAACUCUGAUGAGGCCACAGGAAGAAACUGUCGCUGCCCUCAUGGACUUGAAGUUUCAGAAUAUUGUUGUGGAAAUCUUAAUUGAAAACCAUGAAAAGAUUUUUCGGACGCCGCCCGAUACUACAUUCCCUGAGCCCACCUGCCUGUCAGCAUCACCCCCAAAUGCGCCACCAAGGCAGUCGAAGAGACAAGGCCAGAGAACCAAGAGGCCCGUGGCCGUCUACAAUCUUUGUCUAGAGCUGGAAGAUGGUGACAAUCCUUACCCUUCCAAGGAGGACACCCCUACCAGCAGUCUGGACUCACUUUCCUCCCCGUCUCCCGUGACUACAGCUGUCCCUGGGCCUCCUGGACCAGACAAAAACCACCUUCUGGCAGAUGGAGGGAGCUUUGGAGACUGGGCAUCCACUAUCCCAGGCCAGACCCGAUCGUCUGUGGUCCAGUGGCUUAAUCCACAGUCUCCAACCACAACAAGCUCCAACACAGCUGUGACACCUCUUUCACCCGGGUCGUCCCCUUUCCCCUUUUCUCCUCCUGCUACUGUAGCGGACAAGCCACCUGAAAGCAUUAGCAGUCGGAAGGCUCGAGCCGUAUAUCCGUGUGAAGCAGAACACAGCUCGGAAUUAUCUUUUGAAAUAGGAGCAAUUUUUGAGGAUGUACAAACCUCCAGGGAACCUGGCUGGCUAGAAGGGACUCUGAAUGGCAAGAGGGGGCUGAUUCCACAGAACUACGUCAAGCUGCUGUAGCUCCUGGCCUCAGAGCCCCUGCUGACCCUGGCACCCAGGGACCUGCCUGGGGGCAGAAAGCUGUCUUCCUCCUCCGAGGCUCUGGGCUGCACCCACAGGUACCUCCACACUUGGGAGUUACCAUCAUCACAAUCAGCCUUGGCGGGCAGGGGGUGGCGGGCAGGGAUGGGACGCACCACACAGAACUGUGAUUGUGGAUCAGGAGGGGAAUGUCAGGAUUCGCAAAAUGGACUUUUCAUUUGUCAAGUAUCGGGACUUGUGAUUUUUAAUUAUCCAGCAUAUAGAAUGAGAGGGAGGGCAGCCUUCUGCCACCUCUGUCGCCUCCACUGGCAGUCACACCACCAGAGCCACCCUGGCUCCCUCUCCUCCCUGAGCACCUGCUGCUGCGAUUUUAAAGGGAACUGUACUAUUCGCAGUGAUAGGUUUGCAGAGUGCGUGCUUGGCUGUGGCAGCCUAGCUUGGAGAGGCUGCUGCUGGUGCAGGGGAGAUGGUCUCAAGCCAGAGGGAAGCAGAGAUGUGCUUCUCAAGCCUGCCCUUCCUAGACGGCCACCUGCAGGACCCCACACUCACUGCACUGGCAGCGUGCACUGGCGUAUUUGUAACAGGCUUCUUGGUGCUCCUCACCCGUGUGCUGUUUUCCAAACACCACCUUUUUGCCUCAAGGUCUCUGUAAAUGAAAUAAACUGUAAUUUACUA
rnacentral:sRNA from 1 species